rfam:Beta vulgaris subsp. vulgaris chromosome 9, whole genome shotgun sequence.
AUGUUAUGAUGUGGACACUCUCUCUGCAUAUCUCUAAACCUAGCCCACGCUUCCUGAAGUGUUUCAUCAGGCUCUUGGGAAAACGUGGCUAGCUUAUUUCUGAUCUC